CCUACGGGUGGCAGCAGUGAGGAAUAUUGGUCAAUGGGCGCGAGCCUGACCCAGCCAAGUAGCGUGAAGGAUGACUGCCCUACGGGUUGUAAACUUCUUUUAUAAAGGAAUAAAGUGAGGCACGUGUGCCUUUUUGUAUGUACUUUAUGAUUAAGGAUCGGCUAACUCCGUGCCAGCAGCCGCGGUAAUACGGAGGAUCCGAGCGUUAUCCGGAGUUAUUGGGUUUAAAGGGAGCGUAGAUGGGUUGUUAAGUCAGUUGUGAAAUUUUUGGGCUGAACCGUAAAAUGGCAAUUGAUACUGGCAUCCUUGAGUGCAGUUGAGGAAGGCGGAAUUCGGGGUGUAGCGGUGAAAUGCGUAGAGAUCAGGAAGAACCCCAGUGGCGAAGGCAGCCUACUAAACUGCCACUGACGUUGAUGUGCGAAAGGGUGGGGAUCAAACAGGAUUAGAUACCCUAGUAGUC
rnacentral:rRNA from 1 species